rnacentral:rRNA from 1 species
UACGAAGGGGGCUAGCGUUGUUCGGAAUCACUGGGCGUAAAGCGUAUGCAGGCGGAUCGUUAAGUCGGGGGUGAAAUCCCGAGGCUCAACCUCGGAACUGCCUUCGAUACUGGCGAUCUUCGAGUCCGGGAGAGGUGAGUGGAAUUGCGAGUGUAGAGGUGAAAUUCGUAGAUAUUCGCAAGAACACCAGUGGCGAAGGCGGCUCACUGGCCCGGUACUGACGCUGAGAUACGAAAGCGUGGGGAGCAAACAGG